rnacentral:lncRNA from 1 species
CCUUAUCCACUAGCGUGGUUUGUAAGGCACAUGGGCCCUGGAUCAAACCGAGGAGAUAAUGUAUCCAUUUCCCAAUAACAUUUGAUGGACCUGCUAAUUAAAUGGUCAAUCUUUCUCCUUCUUGAGCAGGAAGCUCCACUGUUUUGGUAGCAACCUAUGCAUGCAAGAUGUUCCUGAAAGAAUACGAACCUGUAGCAACAAAAAGAAAUGAAGCCAUGAAUAUGCAUGAUGAAAUGUACAAUGGAAAUCAACUUUGAAAUUAUAGAAGGGUAACUUUAGAUUCAAAUCUUUGUACUUCCUCUGCCCUUUUAUCUCC